AUAACGACAUUGAUGGGGAAUAGUAGGCAGCAAAGCCUUCAGAGAGUGGAACCGUUACGCUGAGAGGUUCUGCAGGAAGUGACUGCUACGAGUCGCCCCGGAGUUGCCUGAGCCAAGUAGGAGCAACCUGUGCUCUACCGAAGUCAGGCCGGCCGCAGCCGUUAUCUGUUUGAGUGCCAUGCGGAUACAUUUCGCGUGGAACAAAGGUGGUACCACGGAAGCUUAACCUUUCGUCCUUUAU
rfam:Paenibacillus sp. FSL A5-0031 NODE_33_length_40121_cov_1.52006_ID_5189, whole genome shotgun sequence.